AAAAAUAAAAGAGGAGUUGAAAACCUUUAAAGAAAAAAAAUAAAAACAUAAAUGCUAAAUACACAUGAAGAUGUGAAAACAUGUUGGAUUUGUGGAAUCGCUAAUGACCACGGUUAAAUGGCAGGAUCCAAAAUCCGGUUAGAUUUUACAACGUCAUAUUAAUUUAGUAUUUAUAAAUCCUUUAAAAAAUAAAAAUAAAAUAAAAAAGGAGUUGAAAACCUUUAAAGAAAAUAAAAUAAAAACAUAAAUGCUAAAUACACAUGAAGAUGUGAAAAACAUGUUGGAUUUGUGGAAUCGCUAAUGACCACGGUUAAAUGGCGAGAUCCAAAAUCCGGUUAGAUUUCACAACGUCAUAUUAAUUUAGUAUUUAUAAAACCUUUAAAA
rnacentral:sRNA from 1 species